rnacentral:rRNA from 1 species
AUUGAACGCUAGCGGGAUGCUUUACACAUGCAAGUCGAACGAGUGGCGGACGGGUGAGUAAUAUAUCGGAACGUGCCCAGUAGCGGGGGAUAACUACUCGAAAGAGUGGCUAAUAACGCAUACUAUUGGAGCGGCCGAUAUCGGAUUGUCUAGUUGGCGGGGUAAAGGCUAACCAAGGCAACGAUCCGUAGCUGGUUUGAGCGGACGACCAGCCACACUGGAACUGAGACACGGCCCAGACUCCUACGGGCGUCAGCAGUGGGGAAUUUUGGACAAUGGGGGAAACCCUGAUCCAGCCAUCCCGCGUGUAUGAGAAGGCCUUCGGGUUGUAAAGUACUUUUGGCAGAGAAGCGGUAUCUGCAGAAUAAGCACCGGCUAACUCCGGGCCAGCAGCCGCGGUAAUAC